CCUUGGGAAAAGUGCAGUAUUUGGGUGGGGAGUGUCCCGUUUUUCCAGGUGGUCUGUCACAGCUUCCCUUUGCUAGGAAAGGGAAAUACUCCAACCCCUUGCACUUCCCGGGUGAGGCAACACCUCCCCCCUUCCCUGCUUCAGCUUGCCCUCCAUGGGCUGCACUUACUACAUCAGAAAAAAAGAGAUUGGUAGAACUUAAACAUAUGCUUAUCAUAUGGCCCAGCAAUUCCACUUCUAGAUAUUUGUCCAAGGGGAAUGAAAAUAUGUCCACACAGAGAUUUGUACAUGAAUAUUCAUAACAGCUUUAUUUGUAAAACUAGAAACUAGAAAACAAUCCAAAUGCACUCAAAUGUGCAUCAAUAGGCAAAUAGAGAAGCAAAUUGUGGAAAUCCAUACAAUGGACUACUACUCAGCAAUAUAAAGGAAUGAAGUACUGACACAUGCA
rnacentral:lncRNA from 1 species